GUGUCAGUCUUCCUUGAACGCUGCAGUUCCUGGUCUCGGGACAGGCGCUGGGCUUCACGCUUCUGAAAGACUGGACGAAGGGACAAAAGACAAGAGACAGAACGCUGGAAUGAAAAACACAAAGCAAGAAAUCACAUGGGAAGACUAAAAUCUUGAUUGUUAUGUCACUUGUCCACUACCUUUAAUAAAAGAAGGAAAGGCUCACCUUGUUACACCAUCUCGUACUGGUUAGCAGUAAUAAACCGGGACAGGCAGCACGCCAGCAGCAUCCCAAUCAACUGUUUCAAACAAGAACGGAACAAGUUAGGUUGAGUGAAUGCAGAGCAAAGGAGAGGCUGUGGUAAGCAGAGACUUCACCGUCUGGUGCUAUCGCCCACAACAGAACUUAUCCCCUGUCCUCUGAUCGGAGAAAUAGCAUUAAAAUUUCUUGUCCUUCCUCAUGGGAUCUUCCUCUUGAUCAGGGCUCUUUUCAGUGGUGAGUGGAGACAGGACAAGGGGAAACGGCUGGAAACUGCAGCAUAGGAAGUUCUGCACCAAUGUGCGCAAGAACUUCUUUGCAGUGAGGUGACGGAGCACUGGAACAGGCUGCCCAGGGAGGUGGUGGAGUCUCCUUCUCUGGAGAUGUCCAAGACCUGCCUGGAUGCCUACCUGUGCGACCUGCUGUAGGGAACCUGCUUUGGCAGGGGGGUUGGACUCCAUGAUCUCUGGAGGUCCCUUCCAACCCCUACGAUUCUGUGAUUCUGUGAUUAUCAGAGCCUCUUUGUUUGAUAGCACAUAUUUUGCUACUUUUCCAUCCCGCUGCCACUGCCAGCCCAGCACAGGCAGGAUACCUGAUGGGCUGCUGCCUGGCUGCAUUUCACUCAUCCACUCCACUCAGUUUCUGACCCCCCCGGGCAUUUAUGCUUUCUUUACAAAUGAUGCAGCACUCGAUAAAUGAACACUAUAAAUCUGGAAAUUAAGGGAAAAAAAAAACAAGAAGCCUUUCAUUAUUCCCCUGGAUAUAACUCAGAUUAUUGAAAACAGAUCCCUCGUCUCCACCCUUCAAUAAACUCUCAGUCAUUUUAA